GACGAACGCUGGCGGCGUGCUUAACACAUGCAAGUCGAACGGUGAUGCUCCAGCUUGCUGGAGUGGAUCAGUGGCGAACGGGUGAGUAACACGUGAGCAACCUGCCCCAGACUCUGGAAUAAGCGCUGGAAACGGCGUCUAAUACUGGAUACGAAACUGGCCCGCAUGGGCAUGGUUUGGAAAGUUGUUCGGUUUGGGAUGGGCUCGCGGCCUAUCAGCUUGUUGGUGAGGUAAUGGCUCACCAAGGCGACGACGGGUAGCCGGCCUGAGAGGGCGACCGGACACACUGGGACUGAGAUACGGCACAGACUCCUACGGGAGGCAGCAGUGGGGAAUAUUGCACAAUGGGAGAAAGCCUGAUGCAGCGCCGCCGCGUGAGGGAUGACGGCCUUCGGGUUGUAAACCUCUUUCAGCAGGGAAGAAGCGAAAGUGACGGUACCUGCAGAAGAAGCACCGGCUAACUACGUG
rnacentral:rRNA from 1 species